rnacentral:piRNA from 1 species
UCAAGAAAGGGGGCCUGAAUGGU